UAAAAAGGGAAACAAAAUAUUCUCAAAUUAUAUUAUGUUUUCAAAAUAAAAAAAGUAAAAAAAGAUAAUAGUUACAGAAAAAAAAAUUAAAAAAAAAUAUAUUUUUAAUGUUCUCAACAAAACACUAAACCCUAAAUCUUAAUCCCUAAACCCUAAAUCCUAAACCCUAAACCCUUGGGUAAACCCUAAACCCUUGGGUAAACCCUAAACCCUUGGAUAAAUCCUAAACUCUAAAUAAAAAACACUAAAACUCUAAAAUCCUAAAACCCUAAACCCUAAACGCUUGAAUGUUUUAGUGUAUAGUGAUUUUGAUUUAGAGUUUAGGAUUUAUCCUAGAGUUUAGGAUUUAUCCUAGAGUUUAGGGUUUAGGAUUAAGAGUUUAGGGAUUAGAAUUUAGGGUUUAGGGUUUAAUGUUAUGCUGACGACGUAAAAUAUUUUUUUUGUAAUUAUUACUAUUUUUUUAUCUUUUAAUUUUAAAAACAUAAUAUAAUUUGACAAUAUUUUGUUUCCUUUUUUAAAAGAUAUUGAAUAUAAAAUAAAACAAUCCUAUUGGUUGGUGAACCUAGAGGUUCACCCUAGGGGGUGGACCUAAGAAUAAGUCUUUGUAAAGAGUCAUUCUUGGGUUCACCAACCAAUAAGAUUUCAUUAUUUCAAAUUUGAUAUCUUUUAAAAAAGGAAACAAAAUAUUCUCAAAUUAUAUUAUGUUUUCAAAAUAAAAAAUGUAAAAAAAGAUAAUAGUUACAGAAAAAAAAAUUAAAAAAAAAUAUAUUUUUAAUGUUCUCAACAAAACACUAAACCCUAAAUCUUAAUCCCUAAACCCUAAAUCCUAAACCCUAAACCCUUGGGUAAACCCUAAACCCUUAGGUAAACCCUAAACCCUUGGAUAAAUCCUAAACUCUAAAUAAAAAACACUAAAACUCUAAAAUCCUAAAACCCUAAACCCUAAACGCUUGAAUGUUUUAGUGUAUAGUGAUUUUGAUUUAGAGUUUAGGAUUUAUCCUAGAGUUUAGGAUUUAUCCUAGAGUUUAGGGUUUAGGAUUAAGAGUUUAGGGAUUAGAAUUUAGGGUUUAGGGUUUAAUGUUAUGCUGACGACGUAAAAUAUUUUUUUUGUAAUUAUUACUAUUUUUUUAUCUUUUAAUUUUAAAAACAUAAUAUAAUUUGACAAUAUUUUGUUUCAUUUUUUAAAAGAUAUUGAAUAUAAAAUAAAACAAUCCUAUUGGUUGGUGAACCUAGAGGUUCACCCUAGGGGGUGGACCUAAGAAUAAGUCUUUGUAAAGAGUCAUUCUUGAGUCAUUCUUGGGUUCACCCCCUAGGGUGAACCUCUAGGUUCACCAACCAAUAGGAUUUCAUUAUUUCAAAUUUGAUAUCUUUUAAAAAAGGAAACAAAAUAUUCUCAAAUUAUAUUAUGUUUUCAAAAUAAAAAAAGUAAAAAAAGAUAAUAGUUACAGAAAAAAAAAUUAAAAAAAAAUAUAUUUUUAAUGUUCUCAACAAAACACUAAACCCUAAAUCUUAAUCCCUAAACCCUAAAUCCUAAACCCUAAACCCUUGGGUAAACCCUAAACCCUUGGGUAAACCCUAAACCCUUGGAUAAAUCCUAAACUCUAAAUAAAAAACACUAAAACUCUAAAAUCCUAAAACCCUAAACCCUAUACGCUUGAAUGUUUUAGUGUAUAGUGAUUUUGAUUUAGAGUUUAGGAUUUAUCCUAGAGUUUAGGAUUUAUCCUAGAGUUUAGGGUUUAGGAUUAAGAGUUUAGGGAUUAGAAUUUAGGGUUUAGGGUUUAAUGUUAUGCUGACGACGUAAAAUAUUUUUUUUGUAAUUAUUACUAUUUUUUUAUCUUUUAAUUUUAAAAACAUAAUAUAAUUUGACAAUAUUUUGUUUCCUUUUUUAAAAGAUAUUGAAUAUAAAAUAAAACAAUCCUAUUGGUUGGUGAACCUAGAGGUUCACCCUAGGGGGUGGACCUAAGAAUAAGUCUUUGUAAAGAGUCAUUCUUGGGUUCACCAACCAAUAAGAUUUCAUUAUUUCAAAUUUGAUAUCUUUUAAAAAAGGAAACAAAAUAUUCUCAAAUUAUAUUAUGUUUUCAAAAUAAAAAAUGUAAAAAAAGAUAAUAGUUACAGAAAAAAAAAUUAAAAAAAAAUAUAUUUUUAAUGUUCUCAACAAAACACUAAACCCUAAAUCUUAAUCCCUAAACCCUAAAUCCUAAACCCUAAACCCUUGGGUAAACCCUAAACCCUUAGGUAAACCCUAAACCCUUGGAUAAAUCCUAAACUCUAAAUAAAAAACACUAAAACUCUAAAAUCCUAAAACCCUAAACCCUAAACGCUUGAAUGUUUUAGUGUAUAGUGAUUUUGAUUUAGAGUUUAGGAUUUAUCCUAGAGUUUAGGAUUUAUCCUAGAGUUUAGGGUUUAGGAUUAAGAGUUUAGGGAUUAGAAUUUAGGGUUUAGGGUUUAAUGUUAUGC
rnacentral:lncRNA from 1 species